rnacentral:rRNA from 1 species
UACGAAGGGGGCUAGCGUUGUUCGGAAUUACUGGGCGUAAAGGGCGCGUAGGCGGCCUUCUAAGUCGAACGUGAAAUCCCCGGGCUCAACCCGGGAACUGCGUCCGAUACUGGAAGGCUUGAAUUCGGAAGAGGCGAGUGGAAUUCCUGGUGUAGCGGUGGAAUGCGCAGAUAUCAGGAGGAACACCAAUAGCGAAGGCAGCUCGCUGGGACGUUACUGACACUGAGGCGCGAAAGCGUGGGGAGCGAACAGG